AUGGUCUUGGCCUUCGUGAUGGUCUUGGCCUUGGUGGUGGACUUGGCCGUGGUGAUGGACAAGGGCAAGGUCGUUAUAGAGGAAUGUUUGGAUACCUCGAUGGACCAUUUCUGUAUGGCAGCUUCCCAACCCAACAAACCAACAAUGAAGGAGGAUGGCGAAGAUGAGAUGGCGGGAUGGUGGGAGAAGGCUGCGAAGAAGCUGAGAGAGGAGGAUGCAGCCGCACUAAAGAAGAAGAAGGAAGAGGAGCUUGAAGAGAAGAGGAAGGAACAAGUGAGAGCGUCAAAUGCGUGUCACGCUAGGGAGCAAGCGUUGGUGAGGAAAUGUGAGGAGGCACAGAAGAAGCGUCAAAAGGAUUUUGAAGAAAGAACCAUGAAGCUUUGA
rnacentral:rRNA from 1 species